UGGGGCGUGGUCGAAUUGGCAAGACGUCGGGUUCUGGCCCCGAAGGUUCCAGGUUCGAGUCCUGGCGCCCCAACCA
rnacentral:tRNA from 1 species